CAGUGCUUUCAGGGAACUGCUCUGUCCUUGCACCACGUCACCCCUGUGUUGAAGAAGAAUGACCGUAACCACAGUUGAGCUCCUCUGCUCCGGACUGGUUCUAAGCCUGGCUCCUGAACUGGCGGGGAGGCUCAGGCAGGCGAGCUCUCCUUGGCUGGGGAAGUGAAGCACAGACAAGCUCCCUGGCCGUUACUGAUCCACUCAGAGGUGUCAAAGGUCCCCGACUGCCAUCAGUCCGUGUCUGCCAGGAGAUUUGAACGCAGGAGGUGGAAUGAGCCUUUGCAAGGAGACGUGCUGUUCUUGGACACCUCCUGAAGUGGAGACCGGGGGUAACUUGGUGCCAAAAACUACACUUCAUGUACUCAUGACAUGCAGCACCCACUGCUGGAGUCGGUGCUGCCAGAGACGCACCUGCGGAUGUCCUGUCCCAGAAGAAAACAAAAAAUCACGGGCAGCCUGGACACAGAAUCGCUUGUUCAGGGGAAUAAAUUGCUGGAAAGAAGCGCCGGGAUGAAGGCGGAGGACUGGGGCUGCAGCGAGAUCCUGAUGAACUCGCUGCCUCUCGCUGUGCCUUGCUGCCGGGCUGGCUCAGGGCCUCCCUCCGCAGCGCACCGGGCGCUGCCUCUGCCGGAUGAUGUCAUGGCAGAGGGGAAGGGAGCGCGGGCGGCUACCAGGCUCUUGAGCAAGUAGCCCUCCAAUAGUUUCCUUUUUUUCCUCCCCAGCUGUACCAGCAUAUGCCCCGCAGCAGGUCGGGUUUUGCCAGGUUUGUGUUCAAAAUCUGGCAUGAUCCUUAAAGCUGUGGCUGCUUUAAACCCCCCGAUUUCCUGCAACCCCCCCUGUGCUGCCCACCCCGGGGAUGCCCUGGUCUCCUUCUCCCCUAGAGCUCAACCUGUUGUUUUGUUUUGGUUUUUUUUAUAAAAAGCUGCUUUUCCCCACUAGAGCAGGAGGGAGGGUCACUCCAGUGCCCCCUGGCUCCCCAGGUAUCAUUAACUCACACUCACCAUUCUAAGCCCGAUGGCACAAACCAGGGCAGACUCAGGCCCCUCCUUCCCUUUGCCCUUUAAUUUGCCUCUUUUCUCCCCCCAAAACCCACAGACCAUGCAGCUGCCUAAAGCUUCUCCUGCUUUUUUCUUCUCCCCCCUCAGGUACAGCAGCAGGGAAGUAAAAGGUUGAGCCAUCACGUUCGCCUUCCACUGAUCCCUCCUCGUCAGCCAUUUCAGAGGCCAAGUGCUGACUACCAAAACUUUUCCCUGGGCUGCUCCAAAACUUUUAAGUGUUUUUCCCCUCACUUGUAGCUUAAAGUAGAUUUUUAGGCAGUUUUUGCCCUGAUUUCAGUUAAUUGACCUGGGUUCUGGCAGACCUGGGAGGAAACAGAGUUAAGUUUAAGCAAGCCUUUAGGCAAACAAAUAAUGCUUGAGCUUAUUAAUGCAUUAGAGAGGUGCAAGUGGUGUCCAUUAUCCACCUGAUAUUAAGGGCUGUUCUCCCUCUUCCAGGUAUUUUACCUAUUACAGCUCACAGGACAGGCUUAGAAUGGAAAAUAAGGGGGGG